rnacentral:rRNA from 1 species
GACGAACGCUGGCGGCGUGCUUAACACAUGCAAGUCGAACGGAAAGGCCCUGCUUUUGUGGGGUGCUCGAGUGGCGAACGGGUGAGUAACACGUGAGUAACCUGCCCUUGACUUUGGGAUAACUUCAGGAAACUGGGGCUAAUACCGGAUAGGAGCUCCUGCUGCAUGGUGGGGGUUGGAAAGUUUCGGCGGUUGGGGAUGGACUCGCGGCUUAUCAGCUUGUUGGUGGGGUAGUGGCUUACCAAGGCUUUGGCGGGUAGCCGGCCUGAGAGGGUGACCGGCCACAUUGGGACGGAGAUACGGCCCAGACUCCUACGGGAGGCAGCAGUGGGGAAUAUUGCACAAUGGGCGGAAGCCUGAUGCAGCAACGCCGCGUGCGGGAUGACGGCCUUCGGGUUGUAAACCGCUUUCGCCUGUGACGAAGCGUGAGUGACGGUAAUGGGUAAAGAAGCACCGGCUAACUACGU